rnacentral:rRNA from 1 species
UACAGAGGUCUCAAGCGUUGUUCGGAUUCAUUGGGCGUAAAGCGCGCGUAGGCGGCCCGGUAAGUCCGCUGUGAAAGUCCAGGGCUCAACCCUGGAAAGCCAGUGGAUACUGCCGGGCUAGAGUCCGGAAGAGGCGAGUGGAAUUCCUGGUGUAGCGGUGGAAUGCGCAGAUAUCAGGAGGAACACCAAUAGCGAAGGCAGCUCGCUGGGACGGUACUGACGCUAAGGCGCGAAAGCGUGGGGAGCGAACAGG